GAUGAACGCUGGCGGCGUGCCUAAUACAUGCAAGUCGAGCGAACGGACGAGAAGCUUGCUUCUCUGAUGUUAGCGGCGGACGGGUGAGUAACACGUGGAUGACCUACCUAUAAGACUGGGAUAACUUCGGGAAACCGGAGCUAAUACCGGAUAAUAUUUUGAACCGCAUGGUUCAAAAGUGAAAGACGGUCUUGCUGUCACUUAUAGAUGGAUCCGCGCUGCAUUAGCUAGUUGGUAAGGUAACGGCUUACCAAGGCAACGAUGCAUAGCCGACCUGAGAGGGUGAUCGGCCACCCUGGAGCUGAGACACGGUCCAGACUCCUACGGGAGGCAGCAGUAGGGAAUCUUCCGCAAUGGGCGAAAGCCUGACGGAGCAACGCCGCGUGAGUGAUGAAGGUCUUCGGAUCGUAAAACUCUGUUAUUAGGGAAGAACAUAUGUGUAAGUAACUGUGCACAUCUUGACGGUACCUAAUCAGAAAGCCACGGCUAACUACGUG
rnacentral:rRNA from 1 species